UUUAUGAACGCUAGCUACAGGCUUAACACAUGCAAGUCGAGGGGCAGCAUUUCAGUUUGCUUGCAAACUGGAGAUGGCGACCGGCGCACGGGUGAGUAACACGUAUCCAACCUGCCGAUAACUCGGGGAUAGCCUUUCGAAAGAAAGAUUAAUACCCGAUGGUAUAAUCAGACCGCAUGGUCUUGUUAUUAAAGAAUUUCGGUUAUCGAUGGGGAUGCGUUCCAUUAGGCAGUUGGUGAGGUAACGGCUCACCAAACCUUCGAUGGAUAGGGGUCCUGAGAGGAAGGUCCCCCACAUUGGAACUGAGACACGGUCCAAACUCCUACGGGAGGCAGCAGUGAGGAAUAUUGGUCAAUGGGCGCAGGCCUGAACCAGCCAAGUAGCGUGAAGGAUGACUGCCCUAUGGGUUGUAAACUUCUUUUAUAUGGGAAUAAAGUUUUCCACGUGUGGAAUUUUGUAUGUACCAUAUGAAUAAGGAUCGGCUAACUCCGUGCCAGCAGCCGCGGUAAUACGGAGGAUCCGAGCGUUAUCCGGAUUUAUUGGGUUUAAAGGGAGCGUAGGUGGACAGUUAAGUCAGUUGUGAAAGUUUGCGGCUCAACCGUAAAAUUGCAGUUGAUACUGGCUGUCUUGAGUACAGUAGAGGUGGGCGGAAUUCGUGGUGUAGCGGUGAAAUGCUUAGAUAUCACGAAGAACUCCGAUUGCGAAGGCAGCUCACUGGACUGCAACUGACACUGAUGCUCGAAAGUGUGGGUAUCAAACAGGAUUAGAUACCCUGGUAGUCCACACAGUAAACGAUGAAUACUCGCUGUUUGCGAUAUACAGUAAGCGGCCAAGCGAAAGCAUUAAGUAUUCCACCUGGGGAGUACGCCGGCAACGGUGAAACUCAAAGGAAUUGGCGGGGGCCCGCACAAGCGGAGGAACAUGUGGUUUAAUUCGAUGAUACGCGAGGAACCUUACCCGGGCUUAAAUUGCAUUUGAAUAUAUUGGAAACAGUAUAGCCGUAAGGCAAAUGUGAAGGUGCUGCAUGGUUGUCGUCAGCUCGUGCCGUGAGGUGUCGGCUUAAGUGCCAUAACGAGCGCAACCCUUAUCUUUAGUUACUAACAGGUCAUGCUGAGGACUCUAGAGAGACUGCCGUCGUAAGAUGUGAGGAAGGUGGGGAUGACGUCAAAUCAGCACGGCCCUUACGUCCGGGGCUACACACGUGUUACAAUGGGGGGUACAGAAGGCAGCUACCUGGUGACAGGAUGCUAAUCCCAAAAGCCUCUCUCAGUUCGGAUCGAAGUCUGCAACCCGACUUCGUGAAGCUGGAUUCGCUAGUAAUCGCGCAUCAGCCAUGGCGCGGUGAAUACGUUCCCGGGCCUUGUACACACCGCCCGUCAAGCCAUGAAAGCCGGGGGUACCUGAAGUACGUAACCGCAAGGAGCGUCCUAGGGUAAAA
rnacentral:rRNA from 1 species